UGGUGGAGUGAUUUGUCUGGUUGAUUCCGUUAACGAACGAGACCUCGGCUUACUAAAUAGAGCUGCUUUUCCAACGAAAGGUAUAUCUUCUUAGAAGGACAAUUCGGUUUUACCGGAUGGAAGUUCGAGGCAAUAACA
rnacentral:rRNA from 1 species